rnacentral:rRNA from 1 species
UUAGAUACCCCACUAUGCCUAGCCGUAACACACAAUUAAACUACCAAUUGUCCGCCAAACAACUACGAGCCAUACUUGAAACUUAAAAGACUUGACGGUACUUCAUCACGACCUAGAGGAGCCUGUCCAAUAACCGACAAUCCACGAUUAACCCAACCCCUUCUUGCCCAACAGUCUAUAUACCGCCGUCGCCAGCUUACCUUGUAAAAGAAAUAAAGUGAGCUAAAUAGUACAACACUAAAACGACAGGUCGAGGUGUAACUUAUGAAGGGGCCAAGAUGGGCUACAUUCUCCAACCGAGAAUACGCAUAACACUAUGAAAUUAGUGUUUGAAGGCGGAUUUAGCAGUAAGAUAAGAAUAAAAUACUUAACUGAACACAACGCAAUGAAGUGCGUACACACCGCCCGUCAUCCCUGCC